CUCUGGGGCAAAAGUCCAUGGAUGCCACAACCAGAACCCUGUCUCCAUCAGCAUCAUGUCUCCACCUGCAUCCACCCUGUCUCCACCAGCAUGUAUUCUGUCUCUACCAGCACGUACCAUGUAUCUACCAGCAUCCACUCUGUCUCCACCAGCACCCUGUCUCCAUCAGCAUCUACCCUGUCUCCACCAGCAUGUAUUCUGUCUCUACCAACACACCACAUGUCUCCAUCAGCAUGUACCCUGUCUCCACCUGUAUGCACCCUGUCUCCACUAGCAUGCAUCAUGUCUCCACCAGCAUGCAUCCUGUCUCCACCAGCAUGGACCCUGUCUCCACCAAGGUGUAAACACACAAGCAGCCUCUCAGCAGGGAGCCCUGGCUGAACUGCGCCUUGCCACACUGUCCAGGCAGAUUUCGAAUUCAUGGCAGUCCUUCUGAUUCACCCUCCACUGUGCUGGAUUUGCAGGUGUACCCUGUAACAUUCUCGAGA
rnacentral:lncRNA from 1 species